rnacentral:rRNA from 1 species
UGAAAGCCUGCAGCUAACUGCAGAACUGCCAUUGAUACUGAUAGUCUUGAGUUGGUUAAGGUAGGCGGAAUGUGUAAUGUAGCGGUGAAAUGCUUAGAUAUUACACAGAACACCAAUUGCGUAGGCAGCUUACUGAGCCGACACUGACGCUGAGGCACGAAAGCGUGGGGAUCGAACAGGAUUAGAUACCCUGGUAGUCCACGCCGUAAACGAUGAUUACUCGCUGUUGGCGAUACACUGUCAGCGGCUAAGCAAAAGCAAUAAGUAAUCCACCUGGGGAGUACGGCCGCAAGGUUGAAACUCAAAGGAAUUGACGGGGGCCCGCACAAGCGGAGGAACAUGUGGUUUAAUUCGAUGAUACGCGAGGAACCUUACCUGGGCUUAAAUGUAGAGUGCAUUUUCUAGAGAUAGGAAUUCCCUUCGGGGCUUUCUGCAAGGUGCUGCAUGGUUGUCGUCAGCUCGUGCCGUGAGGUGUCGGGUUAAGUCCCAUAACGAGCGCAACCCUUAUCGUUAGUUGCCAGCUGGUAAAGCAGGGGACUCUAGCGAAACUGCCACCGUAAGGUGAGAGGAAGGUGGGGAUGACGUCAAAUCAGCACGGCCCUUAUGUCCAGGGCUACACACGUGUUACAAUGGUCGGUACAGAGGGCAGCUACCUGGUGACAGGAUGCUAAUCUCCAAAACCGGUCUCAGUUCGGAUCGAAGUCUGCAACUCGACUUCGUGAAGCUGGAUUCGCUAGUAAUCGCGCAUCAGCCAUGGCGCGGUGAAUACGUUCCCGGGCCUUGUACACACCGCCCGU